UGAUGAUGUGUCACCCAUAUGGA
rnacentral:siRNA from 1 species